rnacentral:rRNA from 1 species
GACCAGACUCCUACGGGAGGCAGCAGUGAGGAAUAUUGGUCAAUGGGCGCAAGCCUGAACCAGCCAAGUCGCGUGAGGGAUGACGGUCCUAUGGAUUGUAAACCUCUUUUGUCGGGGAGCAAGGCCCGCCACGUGUGGCGGGAAGGAGAGUACCCGAAGAAAAAGCAUCGGCUAACUCCGUGCCAGCAGCCGCGGUAAUACGGAGGAUGCGAGCGUUAUCCGGAUUUAUUGGGUUUAAAGGGUGCGUAGGCGGACUGGAAAGUCAGCGGUAAAAUCGAGAGGCUCAACCUCUUUCCGCCGUUGAAACUGUCGGUCUUGAGUGGGCGAGAAGUAUGCGGAAUGCGUGGUGUAGCGGUGAAAUGCAUAGAUAUCACGCAGAACUCCGAUUGCGAAGGCAGCAUACCGGCGCUCAACUGACGCUCAUGCACGAAAGUGUGGGUAUCGAACAGGAUUAGAUACCCCCGUA